rnacentral:rRNA from 1 species
AACGUAGGAGACAAACGUUAUCCGGAGUUACUGGGCGUAAAGGGCGUGUAGGUGGUUUCGUAAGUCUGGCGUGAAAUUUUUCGGCUUAACCGGGAAAGGUCGUCGGAUACUGCGGGACUGGAGGACGGUAGAGGCGUGUGGAAUUCCGGGUGUAGUGGUGAAAUGCGUAGAGAUCCGGAGGAACACCAGUGGCGAAGGCGACACGCUGGGCCGUACCUGACACUGAUGCGCGACAGCAUGGGGAGCAACAGG